rnacentral:misc_RNA from 1 species
UCAAACUUGGUCAUUUAGAGGAAGUAAAAGUCGUAACAAGGUUUCCGUAGGUGAACCUGCGGAAGGAUCAUUAUUGAAUAAAUUUGAACAGGUUGUUGCUGGCUCCUUAGAGGGGUAUGUGCACACUUGUCUUCUUUAUUUUAUCCAACUUGUGCACACAUUGUAGACUCUGGUUGUUUUGUCAAUAGAUGUGCUCUGAGCUUUUUCAAGCAUUUCCAAAGUCUAUGUUAUUUUUCACAAACUAUGAAAAUGAGUUUCAGAAUGAUUGUUAUGAUUAUCUAUAACUUUCAGCAACGGAUCUCUUGGCUCUCGCAUCGAUGAAGAACGCAGC